GAUUAGUGGCGAACGGGUGAGUAACACGUGAGUAACCUGCCCUCCACUUCGGGAUAACCUCGGGAAAUCGUGGCUAAUACCGGAUAUGAGCACUCAUCGCAUGGUGGGUGUUGGAAAGAUUUAUCGGUGGGGGAUGGACUCGCGGCCUAUCAGUUUGUUGGUGAGGUGAUGGCUCACCAAGACGAUGACGGGUAGCCGGCCUGAGAGGGCGACCGGCCACACUGGGACUGAGACACGGCCCAGACUCCUACGGGAGGCAGCAGUGGGGAAUAUUGCACAAUGGGCGAAAGCCUGAUGCAGCGACGCCGCGUGGGGGAUGACGGCCUUCGGGUUGUAAACCCCUUUCAGUAGGGAAGAAGCGAGAGUGACGGUACCUGCAGAAGAAGCGCCGGCUAACUACGUGCCAGCAGCCGCGGUAAUACGUAGGGCGCAAGCGUUGUCCGGAAUUAUUGGGCGUAAAGAGCUUGUAGGUGGCUUGUCGCGUCUGCCGUGAAAACCCGAGGCUCAACCUCGGGCGUGCGGUGGGUACGGGCAGGCUAGAGUGUGGUAGGGGAGACUGGAACUCCUGGUGUAGCGGUGAAAUGCGCAGAUAUCAGGAAGAACACCGAUGGCGAAGGCAGGUCUCUGGGCCAUUACUGACACUGAGAAGCGAAAGCAUGGGUAGCGAACAGGAUUAGAUACCCUGGUAGUCCAUGCCGUAAACGUUGGGCACUAGGUGUGGGGGACAUUCCACGUUUUCCGCGCCGUAGCUAACGCAUUAAGUGCCCCGCCUGGGGAGUACGGCCGCAAGGCUAAAACUCAAAGGAAUUGACGGG
rnacentral:rRNA from 1 species